UUGGUCUUGGUUCCUCAUCAAAUUACAUGACAUUUAGACAUGCUUGGUAGAAAAAUAUCUGUUAUUUGUAUAGUUCUGUUGAGACAGUGAGGUCCAAAACUAGGAAUAUAUUGUUUGUUUAAUUAAUAGUUACUAUGUUUCCCAUGAGGGUCUAUGAUCUAUAAACUUUAAUGAUAAAUUAUCAUGCAAAUUAACAUAGGACUUAACUAUUGGGCUAUUAUAGAAGUUCUCUAACUAUUGGUAAAGAAAACUGAGACAUUAAAAAAAAAUCAAAGUAGAGGAAAAAAAAAGUCAGUCCCCAAAAUAAACUGUGCUUCCCUGAUAUAAUGUCUUACUUGUGGGGCAUUUGUAAUCAAAGAAUAACAAUGCCAAAGAAAAUGACUACAUAUGUGAAUAUCUGAUACUGAAAAGAAAACUGAUUGAUAAGAACAAUAUUGAGACUUAAAAUCACCUAAUAACAAUCAGUAUCCUUUAGUCUGUUAUCUGCCUACACUGCCAAAUGCAUAUGAAAAAGUCAAAAUUGCGCUAGUUCAUUCACAGGAACAUGCACCUGAGAAUCAGAACACAAUGGCAAAAGCCUCAGGGCUCAUUUAUUUAAAUAUUAAAUAGAAAAAAAAUUAAAGUAUCGAAAGUCCAGACAAAGCCAUAUUAUGUUCCACAAGAACUGAACUUUUGAACAUUUGAACUUUUUGUGACAGAGUGGUUUGCUUUCAGAUGCAUGAAAAGUUUUUCCUCUGCCAGCAACUAUUCUCCUCUGAAAUAAUUUCUAAUGCUCCACUGGUAGAGAAGGUCAAAUAUUCACACUGGGGAACCAGAGAACUGUAGCUUGUCCCUUCAACCAUUUCACCAAAGUUUUUGGUCACACCAGAAUCUUCUGUAACUACUUUUCAGCAUCCUGUAACAUGUAACAACACUUACCUGCCUUUUGAAGGUAUUUCCCAAGUGGAAAAUGUUAAGAUAUGACACUGAUGAGUGACAUCAACAGAAAUACAGCUCAAAAUUAUUUUUAUUGUACUAAUAAAUAUAUUAAUUUCAAAUCCAAUCAAUAAAUUGACAAUAUAAAACCUAUGGCUGCCUGAAUGAAGUUCUUUUAAUUUCUCUAUGCUGAAAAUUACAGAUGUGACACAUAGACUGUGUCAAUAUCACCUUUUUUUCUAGACAGAGAGCUUUUUAAGCACUCUGCCUCAAAGGCUGAAGGACUUGGAGUUCAGUGUGGGCAACAGAGCUCCCUAAAUGCCAGGAGAUGCUGUCAACAAUACCUGGAGAACCAACAGUGAGGUAGCAAAACAUCUGCACACACUUUGGUCACGCUGAACAACGUGAGCAGUCACAGAUCGCUUGGAACUCCUACUCCUCUAAGCGUCAGAUUUGUCCUCUCCAUCACAAAAAAAAAGACAAAAAUUAAACCCAUGAGUAAAUUGUAAAGUGUGUGGGAUUGGUGACAGCCAGAAACAGCUUGUUAAAGACCAAAAAUUAGUGUAUUGUCUGUGGCACUUUCUGGAAGAAGUAUUUAUAGUUGUCAAUCACUUCUGAUUGUCUUAACAACCUGAAUGUAUUAGAGCUUGGAAACUAAAACAUUUAAGCAAAUCAGAAAUGGAAGUGCUAUUCAAAGCAGUAAAACACCGUGACUAAUGUGUCCUUUGCAAAGAACAUCACCUUCAGAAAAGGCAAAAAAAUUAUCAGAGAUACACAAAUUGAUCUAAUGAUUAUUAUUUUAUGCAGAAGAACAUGAGAGUCCUUUGAAGCUGAAAAUGAUUCUAAUCAAGCUAUUAUUACCUGUUUUCAUCCUAAAUCAAUUUUCUCCUUAGGCUUUAGCUGAAAUCAGUGAGGUAAUAAACGUCAGAUCUGUAAAUUCAACAGGAGAGAAAGUUCAUAAGCAUUUGUUCCUUAAAAAGAUUUAUUACAAAUGUUUUUUCCCUGAAAGCCUGAUGAUGGAUGUGCCAAGGCUUGCAGCUGUGUCUGACAGGAGUGGACAAUGUAAAACAUAAGAAACAGUGCCCUUUUAGAUGAAAGGCAAAGAGCCAAGCUUAGCCUCUUGGAAAAUAAUUACAGCUCAUGUACAAAGACAUCUACAAUUUACUUUGUUACCAUAUUAAAAGGUUGGUAAAACUACUGGAUGGUAUCCACUUUCUCCAGGAAAAGAAAGCACAGCAGAUUGACAGAUCCUGGAUUCUAACAAAAGCCUCUACAUCAGUGUGACCAUCCAGGCAGGCAACCUUCAUACUCAGUGUAGAAUAAUUUCUCUUGAGGUAAAGCAGAAUAAUUUGGAGAUUUUGCUUAUUGUAAAAAAAAAA
rnacentral:lncRNA from 1 species